CAAUAGCGUAUAUUAAAGUUGUUGCGGUUAAAAAGCUCGUAGUUGGAUUUCUGCUGAGAACGACCGGUCCGCCCUCUGGGUGUGUAUCUGGCUCUUUCUUGGCAUCUUCUUGGUGAACGUUGCUGCACUUGACUGUGUAGAGCGCUACCCAGGACUUUUACUUUGAGGAAAUUAGAGUGUUUCAAGCAGGCAUACGCCUUGAAUACAUUAGCAUGGAAUAAUAAGAUAGGACCUCGGUUCUAUUUUGUUGGUUUCUAGAGCUGAGGUAAUGAUUAAUAGGGAUAGUUGGGGGCAUUAGUAUUUAAUUGUCAGAGGUGAAAUUCUUGGAUUUAUUAAAGACUAACAUCUGCGAAAGCAUUUGCCAAGGAUGUUUUCAUUAA
rnacentral:rRNA from 1 species